AUGAUUGUGAGGCUUCUCCAGCAACGUGGAACUGAAGUGACGGCAGCCCUGUGACUGUUAACCCGGAAAACUGCGAGAGGCUUUCCCAUGGAGGGGUCCUCACACCUGGGUUCACCCCUGCCGGAAGACACUGCUGCAUUGUGUGCAGCAGCUGCAAGGCCUGCGUGAUGGAAGGCGAGAGCCCCUGGCCGGCUGCCCUGGCCACAGGCCACGAUCAGCUGAGUGCCUUGAUGGCUCCAUAACGGCUUUCUCAAUGAGCAAGCUACUUUUCAUAACAACAACAAAGCAACGACGCCUUGAUGCCACAUUCAUGCCACCGCCCUCACCACUUGGCCCCCGCAGCCUCGGAAGCCUGCCCACCUGCAGGUGUGGUUUGCACAGGACGGCACAUCCCUCCUCGUCCUGGGUUUAAGCUUAAACACACAGAUGGAGAGACCAAGGAGCUGAGGCGCUAAGGAGAUGACCUAAGGUUGCAAAGUGAAAAGCAAGGCCAAGGAGGGGCUUCAUUUCAAAUACCAGAUGCGGGGCCGGCCCUCCAUCCACUCCUCGGAACGCGGCACUCCGCGGCCUCCCGGGUAGACGGUCUCCACCACUACUUGCUUCUGUUCAUCUCUGACGGCAGAGUUAAAUAAAAUUAAUACUAUUAUUGAAUGCCAAUUUUCAUGUUUAAUUUUAUGGCCAAAUGUGACAAUAAUAGUCAAGAGUUGGCACUAAAAAAAGGUGCUGUGAUUUUUGAAGAGUCUAUAAAAAAAUGGUGGUUUUUAAAAUACCAGAUCAUAUGAUUCAGUCUUUGAACAGCGGAUAGCCUCACCAGGGAAGUCACAAUGACAUUUAAAUACAAAUCAAGGAGUCGGAUCUCAGGAGGCUAGCCACAUAUAAUUCAACUGAACUUUCAUUGAGAGAUAGUUGUUAGUUAUAAGACUAGCUUUCCAAAUGUAUGUGGUACAUCAUAUGUGAAUCGAUUGCCUGUGCAGAACACCAGCCUAUGCUGUUUUGCAAAGAAGUACGAUGCCAAGUGAGAGGGAAGCAGUCAUCUUCCUGACUCGUCCAUCCUGAAUGAGAAGGGACUUUGAGCAGACAAGGAAACGGCGUGAACACGGACGUAUGGAUCACGCCCUGAGAGAGGAUCAUUUUAUCCUUCAGCCUCCUAGAUCAAUUAUGGUAAAAAAGAGAAAUCCUUCUUCAUUAUUAUUUUCUUUUUUUUUUUUUUU
rnacentral:lncRNA from 1 species